rnacentral:misc_RNA from 1 species
AAGUCGUAACAAGGUCUCCGUAGGUGAACCUGCGGAGGGAUCAUUACUGAGUGAGGGCCUUCGGGCUCGACCUCCAACCCUUUGUGAACACAACUUGUUGCUUCGGGGGCGACCCUGCCGUUUCGACGGCGAGCGCCCCCGGAGACCAUCAAACACUGCAUCUUUGCGUCGGAGUUUAAGUAAAUUAAACAAAACUUUCAACAACGGAUCUCUUGGUUCUG